rnacentral:lncRNA from 1 species
CACAACUUCAAUUAACAUAUGGUACUGAUUGUCACAUACAUAUAGUUAAUGUGCUCUAAGCAUAAUCACCCAAACACCAUACAUCAGGCUCACAUCGGGACCAUCAAACAUUUUUUAUUCCAUUAAGUAAUUGGCACAUACAUACAUUCCAAUCUGUUCUAAACAAAACCACUGAGACACCAUACAUCAGGUUUACAAAAGGACAGCCAAAAGAUGCAAGUAUGAGACAUCAGUUGUACAAAAUGAAAGCUAAAACAUCUAGUUGACGUGGAUCGUUGGCUUCAUGGUUCCUUGUGAGUGUAGUCGUUCUGUUUGCUUCCUGCAAAAGUUAAUCAAUUCGCAAUUAUAAUACACUCUUAGAAACUAUACUACAGUACCAAAAUCAACAUACAGGAUCAUCGCAUUCUCAAAAAUAUAAAUAGUAAUAAAUACAGAGAAUUCAAUAAUCAUGUGUUAACAGUAACGUUGAUCCUCAGUUGAGAUUGUUAGCACUAAUCUCGAUAUUUUGUCUCCGCGUACUUAUUUUGCUUUCGUUAUGCAUGUAACAUAGAUGGUCUACGAGAAUAUAGUUGUCGAAGCUUAAAUCGAGUGGGCGGAGGAGGUGAGAUACCGGGCUGCCGUGCGAUGCGGCGCGCAUGGUGAGAUGUCGAUGGCGGUGUGAAGCCGCGGUGCUGUGCGAUGCAGCACGCCCUGUGAAGCGGCAAGGCGCUUGACGACUGGAAUGGCUGGACAAAUAUCAGCUAGAGGAGAAUAGGCAAGUUAGUUUGUUUGUUAGCUGCAUGGCUGCUGACCAGGUGUGUGGCCGUUAAGUGGAGCUGCGCAAGUGGACAUGCAUGCAUGUAGGGAUUACCAAGUGCAUGGAGUUAGUUGUGUGAGUGGGCGUGAGUUAGUGCCUAGACGUGACGUUAGUGGCCGGAUGUGGCGCCUGAGUGGUGCGUGAAGGUUAGCUCCCCAUGUAUAUAUAAGUUACAAUGAGAAAAGAGAAAAGAGGCUGAGAGGGCUCGAGGAAAAAUGAAGCAUAUGUGCUUUUCACCAGGAGACAAGGCAAAGUUAGUUUUCUCCAUGGUGAAGUGUUUGUGUGUGUGUUUUCUGCCCUGGUGUGCGUGUCCUUGUGUUAUUGAGAGAAGAUAGAAACCACAAGAGAGAUGUGAGAGGAAGAAGAGGUGCUGCCAGAGGCAGCGCCAACAGAGAUCACCCCAGCCGGCCCACCAUCUCCAUAAGGAGUUGAUAGGUCAGCAAAGGCAUUUGUUUCUUCUCUUUAAAAAUAAGAUAUAUUACUCUAUUGGCAUAGGCAAAAAAUUGGAGUGCGCAUGAUCUUGAGGUAGCAGAAGAGUUUGAAGCAUCUAUUUGUGUUUAUAAAUUAAUUCUGUAAUAUAUAAAUCAUUGAUUCGUCUGCAUUUGUGUUACUGCCAGCAUCUCAUUCUGAACAGUCUACAGUUUGUGAAACCAUUCUCAUUGCAAAAUUGCCAAAAACUAAUAAGAAAACCCAACCUUCUUUUUAAAGGGACCUGCUUAUCCACUAACUACAGUUACCUGAAUAAUUUUAGCAUUCAAAUUAGUAGCAUUACCAAGCUUGGGUUCAAUAAAUAAUUUUACAUCAACUUAAUUCAAAAGGAUCAAUCUAAUAUAGUAUGCAUAUUAAGAAGCUACAUCAGUUUGCAAUGAACAUCAUUCCUAUCGGCAGCAAGAGUUUUCAAUGUGCACAAACCUUGACAAAUGAUGUCCGGUCGUCGGCUUGCCUCUCACCAUACCAGGAUGUGCGCCACUCAAAAUUCCUGAACAAUAGUGGUUGCUAUUCAACCGAAACAGGAGGAUUCAGGCUAACCAGCUGAAGCAGAAUAAAAGAUGCACCAAAACAAGCUAGAAACGAUGUGCACACGUCAGCAUGCAUCCUUACAAAAGGAGCACGUAAGAGAUUUCUUUUUACCAAAACGAAUAAGAGAAAAGAAUGGCGCUGAACUAAACAAAGGGAAGUAACCAUAAGUUGAGUAAUAUUGUUAAAAACGACAAUCAACAAAACUCAUUGGAAUAAGAUUUAAAUUACAUGGUCGAAUAAGAUCUCCUUAUCUCGAUGAAUCUAAAACUGGUAUUUUGAUAUCUCAAUAAAUCUGAGAUUCAGAGUUUCUAAAAGCUGCAAUAAUGCUUUACAAAUUAGAGCUUACCUAAAAGUAAAGAAUAUCUUGCCCAGAAGCCGAGGUAGGGACUCAUUGAGUAUGAGUAUGACUAUAAACUGCAAACUGCACGCUAGCUCUAAUCUUGGUUGAAAGUUUUGAGAGCCAAUUCUGAAGGCAUCAGACUGCCAGUACCUGCAACAUCUCAAGUAAUAUGAAUACCAGUUUUGUGUAAAUCAUGUACUAACAUUAAAAAUCAAUGUUGAAUUUACACAACCAUACUGUCAGCAACAAAGGCAUGAAUGAAACAAAAAGAAUGUGGCCUAUCUUAUAAUAGUAGGAAGAGCAACAUAAAUCCAUAUUCUCCUUGCAAUGUGGCUUAUCUAAUAAAAGUACGAAGAGCAAAAUAAAUCUAUGUUCUCCCAGCAUUCUAUGGUGCAUGUUCUGCCUUGUUUGUGAGCAGAAGAAUAUGCAGGCUACUGUGAAAGUCAAGCUGUGCCUAACAAUAAACAUUCCAAGUUUCAGAUAGGAUAUGAACCAAGAAAGUACUGAUUUUCUAUACAGACAUCACACUUGUGGUGAUUUCCGCGAAGAGGUGCAAGUUGUUGGCGGCGUGGGAUGGCUUGGGCUCCGAGUCCAGCAUCGCUGCGGCGGCCUCCCACUCCGUCCAAGCGUAUGGGAUGCA